CGGUAUGGUCCAUUUUGAAGGAGAGAGAGAGGGAGGGAGGAGGGACGGGGUUUGGUGAUGUCAGCACAACAUGGUGGACGACGAUGCGGUAGAAUGUGCGGCGGACGGGCGGUGGGUGGAGCCUCCGGUCG